UCCCUCCUGCUGUACCCACCUGCCCCCCUACAUAUGCCGGGAAAAUGAGAAUAGAUUGGCCCAUCCGUGGAUGAUGCCAGGUGGCAUUUAGACCCCCGAGAAGAUACGAGUGCAGUCUAUCUACCUCACAGUGACAGACGUUGGGCCUGGAGAGAGAGGAAAAGAAAAAAGGAAGCAAGUCGGAAAGGAUGAAAACGGAGGAGGGGGAAAGCAGAAAAACCCUAAGCAAAAGCCAUGACUUCCUGCCAUCUGGUAUGCCAAUGACCAUGAUACCCCUGGCACAGGAGUGGAACGGUUUCUACAGGCCCAGAAUGACCCCUUAGUGGCUAAUGUUAUAUGAUGAGGCUUUUUCAGGGUGAUUAAUGAAAAGGAUGGGGAGGACAAGAGAUGGAGAGAUAGAAGGUGAAGGAAUGGGGGAAGGGUGAUGGUGACAAAUCGUUUGGGGGUUCUUCAAAACAACACUGGCAGAUAGAUGGUGGCAGUGUGUGUCUUUCAUUAUCAGUGACCCGCUGUUCAAUCAACGCCAGAGAAAGACGGCCACAGUCCAGAGAACUGGGCUACAGGACAAAGUAUCAUCCCAUCAUCACUCAAGUCCCCCUCUCUUAACACAUACGCACACACACACAUAUAUCUUCUCAAACACUCGCCUCUACCCCUCAAACGACCCCACACACAUUGAUGAGAUGUGAGGGUUCUGACCCCAGACUGGAUGUGCCCUCUUGCCCCUCAGGACCCAAAGAAAGGGCGCCAUCCAUGCAGGUGCCAUGGUAACACUGUCGUGGCAGGUCGAGUCUCAUGAACGAUGAUGCUGGUGAUGUCAUUAACCCGGUGGGAGGAGCAUCCCACCAGUUUUCCCAUAAUCACCAGCUGCCUCUUUCCAUUAGCAUUCAAAAUAAUUCCUAUUGCUUUAAUUCCUACCGUAUUUAAAAAUAUAUAUAUAUAUUUCAAGCCCCUUACAGCAUAUGUAGCAAUAUUUCAAAUUAUUUCAAAUUAUAUUAAACAGACUUAAAAUAUCAAGUGAAUUCUCAUAUAACUUUAAAAAAUGAAGUUGAAAUUGGUUAAAUUAAUUUGAUGAGUUAAAGUGAUGGAAAACCUUGUUACUAAUUGAUCAUAUCAUUUUUUAUUUUUUUGCAGGGGGCUGCA